GACGAACGCUGGCGGCGUGCUUAACACAUGCAAGUCGAACGGAAAGGCCCUUCGGGGUACUCGAGUGGCGAACGGGUGAGUAACACGUGGGUGAUCUGCCCUGCACUUUGGGAUAAGCCUGGGAAACUGGGUCUAAUACCGAAUAUGAUCAUCGGCUUCAUGGUCGGUGGUGGAAAGCUUUUGCGGUGUGGGAUGGGCCCGCGGCCUAUCAGCUUGUUGGUGGGGUAAUGGCCUACCAAGGCGACGACGGGUAGCCGGCCUGAGAGGGUGACCGGCUACACUGGGACUGAGAUACGGCCCAGACUCCUACGGGAGGCAGCAGUGGGGAAUAUUGCACAAUGGGCGCAAGCCUGAUGCAGCGACGCCGCGUGGGGGAUGACGGCCUUCGGGUUGUAAACCUCUUUCAGCACAGACGAAGCGCAAGUGACGGUAUGUGCAGAAGAAGGACCGGCCAACUACGUG
rnacentral:rRNA from 1 species